UCCCUAGCAAAAACGCUAGCCAUAUAAGCCUCCCUAUCACCAGUGAACUCAUCGUUAGCAUCGGGCUCUGUGACCUCAAGACACUCGGUGUGCACAUUUCUGCCUAACACAAUCUCUCCGCCAUUUUGAUUCUUCCCUUCUUUACUUCCCACAACAUCAUCCGACGUCACAACCGGAGGCAGAGGCUCAACGUCAACCACAGCCGUCAGAUCGAAGUCCUCCGCCAAGAUCCCCGCCUUUUCUCCAAUCAUAUGCGCUGGCACCGCUGCAGCCUCCAUUGGAUUCGCUGUACGAAGGUGAUGGUGUAUUGCUUCG
rnacentral:misc_RNA from 1 species